UGACUUGGAGGCUUUUAGCUAUUCCCGUCUCUUCAGUUCGACAUGUCAUGGUCUUUAGAUUAUGAACUUUUGUAGUUUUUCUAUUUCCUGUAUCAGAAAAUUCAUUUACAUAUAUUUCAUUCAAAAAAUUGUAGUUUCUUUAUCCUUAUUGAUUACCUUUAAUUUGAAUGAUUCCUUAAAACUCAAUAUUUAACAUUGGAUCUUAAGUUGUUCAAAUUAAUACUCCAAGACAAUAAUUGUAACAC
rnacentral:lncRNA from 1 species